AACGAACGCUGGCGGCAGGCCUAACACAUGCAAGUCGAACGCCCUAGCAAUAGGGAGUGGCAGACGGGCGAGUAACGCGUGGGAACGUGCCUUUCGGUUCGGAAUCAACCAGGGAAACUUGUGCUAAUACCGGAUACGCCAUUCGGGGCAAAGAUUUAUUGCCGAAAGGUCGGCCCCCGUCCGAUUAGCUAGUUGGUGAGGUAAAGGCUCACCAAGGCGACGAUCGGUAGCUGGGCUGAGAGGAUGAUCAGCCACACUGGGACUGAGACACGGCCCAGACUCCUACGGGGGGCAGCAGUGGGGAAUAUUGGACAAUGGGCGAAAGCCUGAUCCAGCCAUGCCGCGUGAGUGAUGAAGGCCCUAGGGUUGUAAAGCUCUUUCGCCAGGGACGAUAAUGACGGUACCUGGAUAAGAAGCCCCGGCUAACUUCGUGCCAGCCGCCGCCGUAA
rnacentral:rRNA from 1 species